GUUUCGUAGGUGACCUGCGGAAGGAUCAUUAAUGAAUUUUGGUUGCGUGAGGGGAGCGAUCCGCGAGCGCGAUUAUUCAAUUAAAUCCUGUGAACUUGGAAAUUUUGUUUUUAUUGCUUGGCGGAGAGUCUGCUGUGGCCUAGUCCUGGCAGAGUCCCGCCAGCAGUAUAUUUAAACCAUGUUUGAUUGAGCUGUCUGAAAUAUCAUAUAAAAGCUUAAAACUUUCAACAACGGAUCUCUUGGUUCUCGCAUCGAUGAAGAACGCAGCGAAAUGCGAUACGUAAUGUGAAUUGCAGAAUUUGUGAAUCAUCGAAUCUUUGAACGCACAUUGCGCUCUCUGGUAUUCCGGAGAGCAUGCCUGUUUGAGCGUCAUUAAACUCCUCAAUCUCAUAACUUUUUUGCGCGAGAUUGGUUAUGGACAAUGUGCGGUAAGACCGUACUUGUCCGAAAUGGAUUGCAAAGAAAGACUUCGUAAUAAAAACUUAUUUUGUAUCGAAGACUUUUGGCAAUAAUAAGCAGCCCUUGUGGCAGCAAUUCUAAUUUUGACCUCAAAUCAGGUAAGACUACGCGCUGAACUUAAGCAUAUCAAUAAGCGCAGGAAAAGAAACCAACAGGGAUUCCCCUAGUAAUGGCGGAUGAAGCGGGAAAAGCUCAAAUUUGAAAUCUGGCUGUCGUUUGGCAGUCCGAGUUGUAAUUUCUAGAGACAGCUUUGGCUUCCCACAUUGCCCAAGUUCCUUGGAACAGGACGUCACAGAGGGUGAGAAUCCCGUGUGCGGCAUUGAAACAGGGGCUAUGUAUAGCGUCUUCAAAGAGUCGAGUUGUUUGGGAAUGCAGCUCAAAAUGGGUGGUAAAUUUCAUCUAAAGCUAAAUAUUGGCGAGAGACCGAUAGCGAACAAGUAGAGUGAUCGAAAGAUGAAAGAACUUUGAAAGAGAGUUAAAC
rnacentral:rRNA from 1 species